AUUACAGACUUAGGGUUUAUGGAGUUCUUCAUUUGCAGGUGCAAGGGUUGCACUUGCAGUCAGAUCCGCACUUGCAGGCAUCAUUCUCGGCAACGAAAGUCUCGCCGGAAGCCUCGUACUGAGAGUUCAUCGCCGGAGCAACGCCGAGGACAAGUGUCUCGGUGGCGGUGUUCUCCAAGUCUGGGUACAUUUUGCAACUGUACAAAAAAAAAAAACAGAGAUCGUUUGUCAAAAAUUAAGAAUAAAUAAAAACAAAGAGAUUUGAUUAAAAUUGUAUAGUAAUCUCAUCGAGAAAUUAGGGUUUUUGAUUUUCCGGGAAUAUUUACAGAAAAAACAAAAGUGAGAGAUCGAGAAAUUACCCGCCGCAACCAUUGCCGCACUUGCAGCCAGAUCCGCAACCACAGCUUCCACCACAGCAAGACAUGUUUUUUCUAGAAAAUUGGAAGAGAUCUCAGAAGAAUUAUGAAGAUGAUCUUAAUUUGCCUUAACAAG
rnacentral:lncRNA from 1 species